rnacentral:lncRNA from 1 species
UCGAUGAAGUGGUCAAACCUCUUGAUUUGAGUAUCCGUUGGAUAUUAUGGUGAUAAAUCUGAUUUAUAUCUAACCAUUGCUUAAUUGACGCUUGGAAUCUGAAGGUGAUGGAGAUAUAACAGGGCGGUCCCGCUGGUGGUUUGCGUUACGUUCUUUUUAGCAGAUCUAUUUUGUGCGCCUCUUUCCUGUUCAUCUUUUAGCCGCUACCCUUUCAUGUGCCGCCGCCGCCAUUGUUACUUUCUCCUUGCCCUUGAGUGAGAUCUGUCGCCGAUCCUUC